rnacentral:lncRNA from 1 species
AUCAAGCCUCUACGGUCCUUGAAGACAAUUUUCAUUUUCAUUCAAGACCAAGCCUCAACGGUCCUUGAAGAAAUAUUUCGUAUAGAUACGCUGCUACGGCCCUUGACGAAAUUCAUCAUUUCAGUUCAAGAAAUACACCUCAACGGCCCUUGAAGAAAUGUUUCGUUCAAGAAAUACGCCUCUACGGCCCUUGAAGAAGCAAACUAAUUCAAGAUCAAGUCUCAACGACUCUUGAGUUAGAACUUUCACAUUGCAGGACUUCAAAACACGUUUCCUACAUGUGACAAGCACAGGCCUACAAUGCGCCUUGGAAGUGGGGGCAUUUGUAGACAUGUAAAUUUCGUUGCAUACAAAUAAUGCAUCACUAAGCUCCACGUGGCAUAUGACUCAUCACAAAUGGACAAGUCAUCAAUGACAUGUGGCAUAAAUCAAGCAAGGGAAGUAUAAAACAUUCCCAAAAUUUGGUUCAAGGGAGAAAACUCCCUUAAAUUCGGCAAAAGGGUCUAAAGUGAUCCUAAAACCGGAAAGAAAGCUAAGGCAUCCUCACAAAACAAGCAAGAAUUGAAGAAUGUUCACAAAAUAGGCAAUAAAGCCUCUAAAUUUCGGCCAAGGGAGUAAAGGUGGCUGAAAGUAAGACAUAAAAUAUGCUUACAUUAUCCCAUGGACGAAUCAGGACACAAAUCAAAGCUAAAUCCAUCCAAAGGCAAGCUUUGAGAAGUCUAUAAAUACAAUUUCCUGCCACAAGCAUAAGGGUCAAAAAAAUUACACAUUGAGAAAAAUCUCUGCACAAAUCUUUGAAGACUAAUACUCUACCAAAGCUCUCUUCGAAGAAUGCACAACCAAAGCCGAAGCUUUAUGUCGACCAAAGCUGAAGCACUCCUUGAAGAAUCAACAAGCACUCGUGCCGAUUCCUUCAAGACUUUGUUGCAAACUCAAAACUUGUAACAACAUUUCAAGAUCAAGUGGCCAAGACCCUUGAAUCAACGAAGUCCUACAUCAACAUCACCUUUGAAGCAGCCCUAAACCUGAGGUAAAGAUCAUCCACGCAUUGUUUCAAGCUCGAAACUUGAAGCAAUUGUUCAAUCAUUUGUCCGAGAUCAAGUCAUCGCGACCCUUGGAUCAACAAUCUAUGCAUCUACAUCAAAUUUGAAGACUAAAUCAAAGGAAAAUUGUAAACAAAGA